UACGAAGGGGGCUAGCGUUGCUCGGAAUCAUUGGGCGUAAAGGGUGCGUAGGUGGCGCUGUAAGUCGGGUGUGAAAUCCUGAGGCUUAGCCUCGGAACUGCAUUCGAUACUGCGGCGCUUGAGGACUGGAGAGGAGACUGGAAUUCAUGGUGUAGCAGUGAAAUGCGUAGAGAUCAUGAGGAAGACCAGUGGCGAAGGCGGGUCUCUGGACAGUUCCUGACACUGAGGCACGAAGGCCAGGGGAGCAAACGGG
rnacentral:rRNA from 1 species